GUUCACUUAUUAUAUCUCUGUGCAGGCUAGUUUUAUAGGAAUUUAUAAAAAUACGACCUCAUAUGCGUGUUCAGACGUAUUCAAACGCAUUCAGACGUGUUCCGACGUGUUCAGACGCGUUCAGACACGUUUAGACACGUUCCGGCGCGUUCCGGCACGUUCCAGCGCGUUCAGAUACGUAAAACUCACUAAUAUGUUUAGUUAUAUUUUAUAAUGUUACCUUAUAUAAAAAAGUCACUGUGUUAGUUAUAGUAUAUUUAUUUAUUUUAAUUAUCAUUUAUACAUUCAGAUUAUUGAUUUUCGUCUUCAUAUUGAUAAUAUUAAUAAAUGUUCUUUAUUGAUAUAGUGUCGUCUAUAUUAUUAGUGCUAUAACAAAUUGGUGGUGAGGUAAAGAAUCGUUUUUUUUUCACUACAAGAAAGAAAAAAGACAAAUCACACGGAAAUUUCAAGCGAGCGCGCCCAACGUGAUCACCAUAACCUUACAAGUUCAAGUUUUAUUUUUCAGCGAACUUAAGCGACGAUACACGCGACGAUAACAAAGCAAUAACGAUGAAGAAACAGGUAUGCGAAGCUUACAUACCUUACAAGAACAGUCCAACAAAAGCUCCACUUCAUCCGCGGGACAUACUAGAGGAAAAUUGGUAGCGUAUACAUAUCAAUGAUGCACGGCCUUAUCAAAGACAUCAUUUUCUUGUAAUAAUGAUGCGAAAUCGAAAUUGGCAAAAAUUGGUUUCAGCAUUUCAAUAAUGCAACGAUUUUUACCAUCGAUGAAUUUAAAAUAUUCUGCAGUGAAAUUGGUCUUUUUCAAGACUUGAUUGCCCCAGGACAUCCUUCUACAAAUGGAUUGGUUGAAAGAAAUGUACAAACACUGAAAAAACGACUUUUAGCUAUAUCAAAUGAACAGUCUUCAAUGAAAGAAAAAAUUCGAGACAUACUUUUUAGAUAUUGAGCAAUACUUUUAAAAGAUAGGAAGUCGUCUGCAGAAUUAUAUCUGAAUCGUCAAUUAAGAAUUUAAUUAUAGACGUGAUUAAACCUACUAAGUUCUUAAAAAGUCAAGUUUAUGAAAAAAUAGCUCGACAAUUAAGCGUGGGAGAGCGUGUAUAAGCAAGAUAUAUUCUGCCAAUAAAACACAAUGGAAGCUAUACACCUUUAAACGUCACAUUGAUCAAUUAAUCAAGACUGGUAUAAAACAAAAAAAUUAAUCAUCAAUGAAAUUAAAUCAAUCAAAUCAACAGAAUAAUUGUCAGCAUGAGCAUAGUUCAAAAACAAUAGCAGACUUAAUAACAUUCUCAUCAGAAGUUCAAAAUCAACAAGUUCAGCAGCAAGUUACACCAGAAAUUAUUUAUCAUGAGUCGUUUCGUUUCGUUUCAUUUUAAUGGCUGUGGGUACCUGAGGACUCCGAUGCGCCACAAUUCAAAAGGGGUCACUAUUAUGACAACUACAUCAGGCGAUCAAUAUACCACUUCAAAUAAAUGAGCCAUCACAAGCGAAUGAGCCGCAAGUUUAAAAAGAUUCAGUUCCUCGACAUUUAACAAGAACAUGUUAAGUUCCAACUUAUCUCAAAGAAUUUGUUAAAAGUCCGAAUUGAAGAUGGCAAAUAAUACUUUAACAUGAUAACCCAUAUCCUAUUGUUAAUCUAGUCAAGAAGAUUUUAAAACUUUCGAACGUGGACGUGUGUAACAUCGUUAACAGUUACGGGUCAACGUUAUUAUUACACCGUGCAGUUUUUUAUAGGAAUAUAGGUAUAUCAAAGUAUUUAAUAAAUAAAGCAACGAAGGUCGAUGUUCAAAAUAAAUGUUAACUGUAGAAAAUAAAGAUUACAAAAGUAUAAUACUUCUCUGCAAUUUGACGCUAGCACGUGUUUCUGGUAAAUUAAGAUGACAAAAAUGUAUUGCAGAUGGCCCUGGAUACAAAAAACACGCUGACAGCAAUUAUUGAAUUGUUUUUUCAUUUGAAUAGUAAUUGUGCUGUUAAUAUCGCAGACGCAGCAAAGAAAUUAUUUGAAUUUAAUCUUUCAUUGUAUCACGUUGUACUCAUGAGAAAUGUAGAACCUACGAAAACAUUACUAGAAAAAUACAAUCUAGAUGUAAAUGUUGAAAAUCCUGAAAAUAAGGAAAAGCUUUCACAGAGAUUUGAAGAACAUUUUCAGUUGUUAAAGAGUGGUAGAACGUUUUCAGAAUUGGUCGCGAAUACAACGCAAACGUAAAUAUUAGAGAUAAGGCAGAUAAAACUGCGCUUUUUUUCUUUGGUGGUCCUUCAUUUUGACAUUGAUCGAAACGUAUCAAUAAGACAUAUAAAAGAAAAUCUUAUUACGUCAAUACUCUGCGGAAGCACCUUACUAAGGCAACAGUAAAAGUACGGGUGAAAGAGCGAGCUGCUCUUAUUAUUAGUAGAAUUAUGAGAAUGAAUUAUCAUGGAAAUUACGUUAUUCCAAAUACUAUUGCGAAUAAUUUGUGAGAUAAAAAUAUUCAAAGGCUGAAUUAAGCUUUUAUGUAAUUGUAUGUAUGCAUAGAUACUUAUAUAUUUUACUUGUUAAUAGACAUUUGUAUUUUUCUACUUUCU